UACGAAGGGGGCUAGCGUUGUUCGGAAUCACUGGGCGUAAAGCGCACGUAGGCGGACCGUUAAGUCGGAGGUGAAAGCCUGGGGCUCAACCCCAGAACUGCCUUCGAUACUGGCGGUCUUUGAGUAUGGUAGAGGUUGGUGGAACUCCGAGUGUAGAGGUGAAAUUCGUAGAUAUUCGGAAGAACACCAGUGGCGAAGGCGGCCAACUGGACCAUUACUGACGCUGAGGUGCGAAAGUGUGGGGAGCGAACAGG
rnacentral:rRNA from 1 species